rnacentral:rRNA from 1 species
GAAUAUUGCACAAUGGGCGCAAGCCUGAUCCAGCAAUGCCGCGUGCAGGAUGAAGGCCUUCGGGUUGUAAACUGCUUUUGUACGGAACGAAAAGCUUUGGGUUAAUACCCUGGAGUCAUGACGGUACCGUAAGAAUAAGCACCGGCUAACUACGUGCCAGCAGCCGCGGUGAUACGUAGGGUGCAAGCGUUAAUCGGAAUUACUGGGCGUAAAGCGUGCGCAGGCGGUUUUGUAAGACAGAGGUGAAAUCCCCGGGCUCAACCUGGGAACUGCCUUUGUGACUGCAAGGCUAGAGUACGGCAGAGGGGGGUGGAAUUCCGCGUGUAGCAGUGAAAUGCGUAGAUAUGCGGAGGAACACCGAUGGCGAAGGCAACCCCCUGGGCCUGUACUGACGCUGAGGAGCGAAAGCAUGGGUAGCGAA